rnacentral:tRNA from 1 species
GCAGAUGUGGCGAAAUGGCAAACGCGUAAGGUUCAGGUCCUUAUGAGAGAAAUCUUUUGCAGGUUCAAGUCCUGUCAUCUGCACCA